rnacentral:tRNA from 1 species
AUCUAAAUAGUUUAAUAAAAAAUAUUGAUUUGUGGAUUCAAAGUUAUAUAUUUGUUUUAGAUC